AUUGAACGCUGGCGGCACGCUUAACACAUGCAAGUCGAGCGGUAACAUGAUCUCUAGCAAUACAGAUUGAUGACGAGCGGCGGACGGGUGAGUAACACGUAGGAACCUGCCCAAAAGCGGGGGAUAACCAAGGGGAACUUUGGCUAAUACCGCGUAAUCUCGAGAGAGGAAAGCUGCCCGCAAGGGUGGUUCUUUUGGAGGGGCCUGCGCCCGAUUAGCUAGUGGGUGAGGUAACAGCUCACCAAGGCGAUGAUCGGUAACUGGUCUGAGAGGACGACCAGUCACACUGGGACUGAGAAACGGCCCAGACUCCUACUGGAGGAAGCACUGGGGAAUCGUGGACAAUGGGGGCAACCCUGAUCCAGCGAUGCCGCGUGGGUGAAGACGGCCUUCGGGUUGUAAAGCCCUUUAGGUCGGGAAGAAGUGUGUAGGCUGAAUAAUCCUAUACAUUGACGGUACCGACAGAAUAAGCACCGGCAAACUCUGUGCCAGCCGCCGCCGUAA
rnacentral:rRNA from 1 species